UACGUAGGGGGCAAGCGUUAUCCGGAUUUACUGGGUGUAAAGGGAGCGUAGACGGUUACGCAAGUCUGGAGUGAAAGGCGGGGGCCCAACCCCCGGACUGCUUUGGAAACUGUAUAACUGGAGUGCAGGAGAGGUAAGUGGAAUUCCUAGUGUAGCGGUAAAAUGCGUAAAUAUAUGUAAGAACACCGGUGGCGAAGGCGGCUUGCUGGGCCUGUACUGACAUUGAGGCACGAAAGCGUGGGGAGCAAACAGG
rnacentral:rRNA from 1 species